CUGUGAGGCAAUGGUGGAGCAGUCCUCUGUGGGGAGUUUCCUCUGCGGGUGGAGACAGUCACCCUGGAUGACAGAGCAGAGGAGGCCCACAGACCCAGCUCUCGGCACCCCAGCACCGUGGCAGCCCAGCACCUAGCCUCCCAGCACCCAGAUGGACACCUCAGGCAAAACCAUCUCGUGCCGUGCAGCCGUGGCCUGGGCAGUGGGGCAGCCGCUGUCCCUGGAGGAGGUGCAGGUGGAGCCGCCCAGGGCCGGGGAGGUUCGAAUCAAGAUGGCGUCCACCAGCACCUGUGGGACAGAUGCUCAAGGGCUGGCUGCCCCUGCCUUUCCCCCUGAUUCCUGGCCAUGAGGGUGCCGGCACCGUGGAGAGCGUGGGCCCGGGCAUGACCUCCGUUAGGUCAGGAGACCUGGUGCUCACCCUCAUCAUCCCCCAGUGCCGGGAGUGCCAGGCCUGCCUGCAUCCAAGAGGCAGCUUCUGUGACAAGCAGGAGCUGGAAGAGCCAGGACGAUGUCCCCAAGCUGGUGACUGACUUCAUGGCCAAGAAGUUUGACCUGGACACACUGAUCACCCACAUCCUGCCCUUUGAGAAGAUCCAAGAGGGCUUCGAGCUGCUCACCUCUGGCCAGAGCAUCAGAACUGUUCUGACGUUUUAGACAGAGCGGGACACUGCCAGGCAGCCUCCCACGUAGACUCCACAUCUCCUCACGGCUGGACACUCUCAGGCUUGCACACCCUCAUUAGCUGCGCCCUGCCAUGAGGCCUGCACCCUGCCAUGUGGCCUGCGUCCUGCCCUGUGGCCUGCACCCUACCCCACGGCCUGCACCCUGCCCUGUGGCCUGCACCCUACCCCAAGGCGUGCACCCUACCCCAUGGCCUGCACCCUGCCCUGUGACCUGCACCCUACCACAAGGCCUGCACCCUGCCCUGUGGCCUGCACCCUACCCCAAGGCCUGCACCCUACCCCAAGGCCUGCACUCUACCCCAAGGCCUGCACCCUACCCCAAGGCCUGCACCCUACCCCAAGGCCUGCACCCUGGCCUGUGCUAUGCAGAAGCUGUCCCUAGGGUUCCAUGUGAGGCUCUGUGGGGACAGGCAAAUGCAGUUAUAUCUGACAGUGGGUGAGAGACCUUCCUAAA